CAGACAUCGAUGGCGACAACAUGUCUUUGUGAUUUUCGCGAUGCACCGUCCUCAACAUACUAAGCCCUAUGGAAGGGGAGAUUUGGAGGUACCUGGUCAGGUCUUGGUCAGCCUUCAAAUCCCAGAUGUGGAGACUGCAGGGAUACCUCACAGAGAAGACACUAAAGAGUCAACUCUCAUUCAUCGAGUGGACUCAUUGGUUUGCGAAUUACCACAAAGAUGCUCCCAUAGGCAGAUUGCUGCAUGGCAUGCACCACUUAUUCAAAUUGAAGAGGUUGAAGCAGUCUUCCUUGUGGUCACUUGCCAUAACAAUGUCAUGUGUUUUAUGAAAACACCAUCAGUAACAUUUAAAUUGAGUUAAUGUGGACGGCUCUUUUUUUUGUCCGAUUUCUUCAGUGUUCAGUGCCUGUUUGUGAGAUAUGCAUUGUUUGAAAGAUAAGCCUUUGAUUUUGUUUAAUUUUAAUAUGCCUUUCAUCAACAGUGGUUUGGGGUUUUAUAACA
ensembl:lncRNA